UACGUAGGCAGCGAGCGUUGUUCGGAGCUACUGGGCGUAAAGGGUGUGUAGGCGGUUUUCUAAGUUUGGUGUGAAAUCUCCCGGCUUAACCGGGAGGGUGCGCCGAAAACUGGGAGACUAGAGUGCGGGAUGGGAGAGUAGAAUUCCUGGUGUAGCGGUGAAAUGCGUAGAUAUCAGGAGGAAUACCGGUGGUGCAGACGGCUCGCUGGACCGCAACUGACGCUGAGACACGAAAGCGUGGGUAGCAAACAGG
rnacentral:rRNA from 1 species